GGAAUCUUGGACAAUGGGGGAAACCCUGAUCCAGCCAUGCCGCGUGAGCGAUGAAGGCCUUAGGGUUGUAAAGCUCUUUCAGCUGGGAAGAUAAUGACGGUACCAGCAGCAGAAGCCCCGGCUAACUCCGUGCCAGCAGCCGCGGUAAUACGGAGGGGGCUAGCGUUGUUCGGAAUUACUGGGCGUAAAGCGCGCGUAGGCGGAUUGUUAAGUCGGGGGUGAAAUCCCGGGGCUCAACCCCGGAACUGCCCUCGAUACUGGCAGUCUAGAGGUCGAGAGAGGUGGGUGGAAUGCCGAGUGUAGAGGUGAAAUUCGUAGAUAUUCGGCGGAACACCAGUGGCGAAGGCGGCUCACUGGCUCGAUACUGACGCUGAGGUGCGAAAGCGUGGGGAGCAAAC
rnacentral:rRNA from 1 species